GAUGAAGAACGUAGCGAAAUGCGAUAAGUAGUGUGAAUUGCAGAAUUCAGUGAAUCAUCGAAUCUUUGAACGCACAUUGCGCCCCUUGGUAUCCCGAGGGGCAUGCCUGUUCGAGCGUCAUUUCACCACUCAAGCCUGGCUUGGUGUUGGGCGACGUCCUCUUUGGGGACGCGCCUCGAAACGCUCGGCGGCGUGGCACCGGCUUUAAGCGUAGCAGAAUCUUUCGCUUUGGAAGUCGGGGCCCCGUCUGCCGGAAGACCUGCUCGCAAGGUUGACCUCGGAUCAGGCAGGGAUGCCCGCUGAACUUAAGCAUAUCAAUAAGCGGAGGA
rnacentral:misc_RNA from 1 species